rnacentral:rRNA from 1 species
CGUGUAGGCGGCCAAACAGGUCCGUUGUGAAAACUGGAGGCUUAACCUUCAGACGUCGACGGAAACCGUGUGGCUAGAGUCCGGAAGAGGAGAGCGGAAUUCCUGGUGUAGCGGUGAAAUGCGCAGAUAUCAGGAAGAACACCAAUGGCGAAGGCAGCUCUCUGGGACGGUACUGACGCUGAGACGCGAAAGCGUGGGGAGCGAACA